rnacentral:rRNA from 1 species
CCUACGGGGUGCAGCAGUGGGGGAUAUUGCACAAUGGGGGGAACCCUGAUGCAGCGACGCCGCGUGGGUGAAGAAGCGCCUCGGCGCGUAAAGCCCUGUCAGCAGGGAAGAAAAUGACGGUACCUGAAGAAGAAGCCCCGGCUAACUACGUGCCAGCAGCGGCGGUAAUACGUAGGGGGCAAGCGUUAUCCGGAUUUACUGGGUGGAAAGGGGGCGCAGACGGCGAUGCAAGCCAGGAGUGAAAGCCCGGGGCCCAACCCCGGGACUGCUCUUGGAACUGCGUGGCUGGAGUGCAGGAGGGGCAGGCGGAAUUCCUGGUGUAGCGGUGAAAUGCGUAGAUAUCAGGAGGAACACCGGUGGCGAAGGCGGCCUGCUGGACUGCAACUGACGUUGAGGCCCGAAAGCGUGGGGAGCAAACAGGAUUAGAUACCCUGGUAGUC